GAUGAACGCUGGCGGCGUGCCUAACACAUGCAAGUCGAGCGAACGGACGCGAAGCUUUCCUCUCUUCUGUUAGCGUCGCACGGGUGAGUAUCACGUGGAUACCCUCUCUAUAUGACUGGGAUACCUUCGGGAAACCCGAGCUCUUAUCCGAUAUUCUUUUUAACCUCAUGGUUCAAAAUAGAUAGACGGUCUUGCUGUCACUUAUACUUGGAUCCGCGCUGCAUUAGCUAGUUGGUUAGGUAACGGCUUACCAAGGCAACGAUGCAUAGCCGACCUGAGAGGGUGAUCGGCCACACUGGAACUGAGACACGGUCCAGACUCCUACGGGAGGAAGAAGUAGGGAAUCUUCGGAAAUGGGCGAAAGCCUGACGGAGAAACGCCGCGGGAGUGAGGAAGGUCUUCGGAUCGUAAAACUCUGUUAUUAGGGAGGAACAUAUGUGUAAGAAAAGGGGGAAGGCUUGACGGUACCGAAUCAGAAAGCCACGGCUAACUACGUG
rnacentral:rRNA from 1 species